rfam:Equus caballus chromosome 3, whole genome shotgun sequence.
CUGACUCAGCAGUUGGUCACUUGGCUCAUGGGCAGAGGAAGAAUGCCGCUAGCUGUGAGAAUUAAUGUGAAGUACAGGACACACUGAUCGUCAACACUUUGGACACACCUGAAGCCCUGGGUUCUUCUUACAGCUAUGCCAAAAAAAAUUCAA